CCUACGGGAGGCAGCAGUGGGGAAUAUUGCACAAUGGGCGCAAGCCUGAUGCAGCCAUGCCGCGUGUGUGAAGAAGGCCUUCGGGUUGUAAAGCACUUUCAGCGGGGAGGAAGGUGAUAAGGUUAAUAACCUCAUCGAUUGACGUUACCCGCAGAAGAAGCACCGGCUAACUCCGUGCCCGCAGCCGCGGUAAUACGGAGGGUGCAAGCGUUAAUCGGAAUUACUGGGCGUAAAGCGCACGCAGGCGGUCUGUCAAGUCGGAUGUGAAAUCCCCGGGCUCAACCUGGGAACUGCAUUCGAAACUGGCAGGCUAGAGUCUUGUAGAGGGGGGUAGAAUUCCAGGUGUAGCGGUGCAAUGCGUAGAGAUCUGGAGGAAUACCGGGGGCGAAGGCGGCCCCCAGGACAAAGACUGACGCGCCGGUGCGAAAGCGUGGAGAGCAAGCAGGAUUAGAUAGCCGUGUAGUC
rnacentral:rRNA from 1 species